AAUUUAUACGCGCUUUUUUCUUCUCUUACGCGGCUGAUAUAGUCGGCGAUAGAACAAAAUUUAACGCACAGUUGUUCAAACAUCGAAGACACGUAAUUUUAUAUGCACCGAUCUAACGAAAACUCUAUAAACUGCAGCAAAAUAGAUAAAGGGAAUUUUUGCUUUGACGAACGUCCGUGGCACAAACUGACGAGAUUACGCCACAAACGUGCUUACACACAGUAUCGUAAGUAAAAGAAUAUCACUAAAAUGCGAAACUCUACACUCUACGACAGCAGAGCUCGUAGAAGCAUGGCGGAAAUAGAACAACAAGAAUGUGUGAUAAGCUUGGCUGAUAAGUGACACAAUAACGCCUACAUUGUCGCAAUCUUUUUCAAAUUGUAUUUAUCGUGCAAGACAAAUAAUAAAAUAAUAUAAA
rnacentral:misc_RNA from 1 species